rnacentral:rRNA from 1 species
GACGUAGGGCGCAAGCGUUGUCCGGAUUUAUUGGGCGUAAAGAGCUCGUAGGCGGUCUGUCGCGUCUGCUGUGAAAACUCGGGGCUUAACCCCGGGCCUGCAGUGGGUACGGGCAGACUAGAGUGCGGUAGGGGAGACUGGAAUUCCUGGUGUAGCGGUGAAAUGCGCAGAUAUCAGGAGGAACACCGGUGGCGAAGGCGGGUCUCUGGGCCGUAACUGACGCUGAGGAGCGAAAGCGUGGGGAGCGAACAGG